UACGGGGGGGGCAAGCGUUGUUCGGAAUUACUGGGCGUAAAGGGCUUGUAGGUGGCCAACUAAGUCAGACGUGAAAUCCCUCGGCUUAACCGGGGAACUGCGUCCGAUACUGGAUGGCUUGAGGUUGGGAGAGGGAUGCGGAAUUCCAGGUGUAGCGGUGAAAUUCGUAGAUAUUGGGAAGAACACCAGUGGCGAAGGCGGCUAACUGGUCCAGCACUGACGCUGAGGUGCGAAAGCGUGGGGAGCAAACAGG
rnacentral:rRNA from 1 species